CACGUAGGGUGCAAGCGUUGUCCGGAUUUAUUGGGCGUAAAGAGCGUGUAGGCGGUCAGGUAGGUCCGUUGUGAAAACUCGAGGCUCAACCUCGAGACGCCGAUGGAAACCAUCUGACUAGAGUCCGGAAGAGGAGAGUGGAAUUCCUGGUGUAGCGGUGAAAUGCGCAGAUAUCAGGAAGAACACCAGUAGCGAAGGCGACACUCUGGGCCGGUACUGACGCUGAGGAGCGAAAGCGUGGGGAGCAAACAGG
rnacentral:rRNA from 1 species